AGUUGUAAAAUUCUUCCACAGUUAUCAUUCUGUGACUUAUCCACUCAAGGAGACAGAAAAUUGGACAGAUGCCGAUACAGCAUGACUUUUGCUCUGUGCUCCCAAUCAGAUUCUAAACUGAACUGUGUCUAUAAAAAAGGUGUGGUGAUCAGCCUCUGCAGUUAACCCAACCAGGAGGAACUUGGCACACAGGUAUCAUUCUUUUCUUCUUUGGAACGUAUCUUUCAAUGCAAAUCUUGCAUUGUCAGUUUCAAGAACACCACUCAAGAGUGAUGAGGUGCUGGGCAUGGAAGGAUGAAUUAAGGGAUGAAGGCAGAGUUCUUGCCCUCAGGAAACUCACAAUACUGUGGCUGAAGGAAGCCAUUAAAGGUUUCUUACGAGAAACUGGAGCAGUGUAACCAAAAGGUAACUGUGCACUCUGGCCUCACCACCUAGCAGAGAGUCAGUCCAAGCCCUCAGGAGGUGUUCAGUCAUCUGUUGGAUGGAUGAAUGGAUGGAGGAUGAUGGAGACAAGGACACUGGAUUGAAGAUUCAACUCUUUCAUCCACGAAGCAUGUGAAAGAGAACGGGUGAAAGAUCCACUAAA